CUUUGCUGGCGACCGGCGCACGGGUGAGUAACACGUAUCCAACCUGCCCUUUACUCGGGGAUAGCCUUUCGAAAGAAAGAUUAAUACCCGAUGGCAUAAUGAUUCCGCAUGGUUUCAUUAUUAAAGGAUUCCGGUAAAGGAUGGGGAUGCGUUCCAUUAGGUUGUUGGUGAGGUAACGGCCCACCAAGCCUUCGAUGGAUAGGGGUUCUGAGAGGAAGGUCCCCCACAUUGGAACUGAGACACGGUCCAAACUCCUACGGGAGGCAGCAUG
rnacentral:rRNA from 1 species